UGGGGAAUAUUGGACAAUGGGCGCAAGCCUGAUCCAGCCAUGCCGCGUGAGUGAUGAAGGCCCUAGGGUUGUAAAGCUCUUUCACCGGUGAAGAUAAUGACGGUAACCGGAGAAGAAGCCCCGGCUAACUUCGUGCCAGCAGCCGCGGUAAUACGAAGGGGGCUAGCGUUGUUCGGAUUUACUGGGCGUAAAGCGCACGUAGGCGGACUUUUAAGUCAGGGGUGAAAUCCCGGGGCUCAACCCCGGAACUGCCUUUGAUACUGGAAGUCUUGAGUAUGGUAGAGGUGAGUGGAAUUCCGAGUGUAGAGGUGAAAUUCGUAGAUAUUCGGAGGAACACCAGUGGCGAAGGCGGCUCACUGGACCAUUACUGACGCUGAGGUGCGAAAGCGUAGGGAGCAAACAGG
rnacentral:rRNA from 1 species